AACGAACGCUGGCGGCAUGCCUAAUACAUGCAAGUCGAACGAGUGCCUUCGGGUGCUAGUGGCGCACGGGUGCGUAACGCGUGGGAAUCUGCCCUGGGGUACGGAAUAACUCAGAGAAAUUUGAGCUAAUACCGUAUGAUAUCGGGAGAUCAAAGAUUUAUCGCCCUGGGAUGAGCCCGCGUUGGAUUAGCGAGUUGGUGGGGUAAAGGCCUACCAAGGCGACGAUCCAUAGCUGGUCUGAGAGGAUGAACAGCCACACUGGGACUGAGACACGGCCCACACUCCUACGGGAGGCAGCAGUAGGGAAUAUUGGACAAUGGGCGAAAGCCUGAUCCAGCAAUGCCGCGUGAGUGGUGAAGGCCUUAGGGUUGUAAAGCUCUUUUACCCGGGAUGAUAAUGUCAGUACCGGGAGAAUAAGCCCCGGCUAACUCCGUGCCAGCCGCCGCCGUAA
rnacentral:rRNA from 1 species